rnacentral:rRNA from 1 species
GUAGGCUGCAACCCGCCUACAUGAAGUCGGAAUUGCUAGUAAUCGUGGAUCAGCAUGCCACGGUGAAUACGUUCCCGGGCCUUGUACACACCGCCCGUCAAACCAUGAGAGUUGGCAACACCCGAAGCCUGUAGCUUAACCGCAAGGAUGGCGCAGUCGAAGGUGGGGUCGAUGAUUAGGGUUAAGUCGUAACAAGGUAUC